rnacentral:lncRNA from 1 species
CUGCAAAAUCGGCUGGGACUACAUAUUAUGAUCACAGUAGUGAUCCAUGGUUUAAGCAAAGGUAUACUGCUGCAGAGGAUGAGAUCUCCGCGGUUGUUAAAGCCAAUUCGGUACCACUGUAUUUGAAGCGGGAUGGAUUUAGGCCAUCACGGCCCGAGCAUUUUGGUGAUGGGGCUGCUUUUCCAGAAAUUCUCUAUGCACAGUACCCUCUUGAUAUGGGUAGGAAAAAGGACAUAGUUUCCGGGCAAAAGACACUGCCUGUUACAGUUGAUGAGCAUGGCAGAGUUACUUUUGAUGCUAUAGUCAAACAGAAUGAGAAUGCAUCCAAGAUUGUUUAUUCACAGCAUAGGGACCUUGUGCCGAAGAUUUUGAAAAACGAGAUUGAUGAAGAGGAAGGGCCCGAUGAGAAGCAGAAAGAAAUUGAAGAGACCACUUUGGAGACAAAAAUGGCUCUUGAGAAGAUUGUGAAUGUGAGGUUGAGUGCUUCACAGCCUAAAAAUGUUCCAACACAAUCCUCGGAUUCUAAGUUUAUCAAGUACAAACCUUCACAACAAUCAUCUGCUUUUAACUCGGGUGCGAAGGAGAGGAUUAUUAGGAUGGUGGAGAUGCCCGUUGACCCGCUGGAGCCUCCAAAGUUUAAGCACAAGAGAGUUCCUAAGGCUAAUGGUUCACCCCCUGUGCCAGUUAUGCACUCUCCGCCUCGCCCUGUGACUGUUAAGGAUCAGCAGGAUUGGAAAAUUCCGCCGUGUAUUUCGAACUGGAAGAACCCGAAAGGUUAUACAAUCCCACUUGAUAAGCGUUUGGCAGCAGAUGGUAGAGGUCUUCAGGAGGUUCAGAUUAAUGACAACUUUGCAAAGCUCUCAGAAGCUUUGUAUGUAUCAGAGCAGAAGGCCCGAGAGGCAGUUGCUAUGAGGUCGAAGGUCCAAAAGGAGAUGAUGUUGAAAGAGAAGGAAAGAAAGGAACAAGAAUUGCGUGCAUUAGCUCAGAAAGCUAGAUCUGAGAGAACUGGUGCUGCUCCACCAGCUUCUGUCUCGUUGCCUUUUGACAAGAGUACGAUGGACAUUGAUGAUAUGAGAGGGGAUAAUGAACGUCUCAAAGAGAGGGAUGCACCAAGGGAGACAAAGGAGGAAAGGGAAGAGCGGCUGCAUAGGGAAAAGAUUCGUGAGGAGCGGCGUCGAGAGAGGGAGAGAGAGAGAAGGCUGGAGGCAAAGGAUGCUGCGAUGGGGAAGAAAAGUAAGAUUACCAGAGACAGAGACCGUGAUAUCAGUGAAAAGGUUGCACUUGGGAUGGCUUCUGCUGGAGCAGGACGUGGGGGAGAGGUUAUGUACGACCAACGGUUGUUCAACCAGGANNNNNNNNNNNNNNNNNNNNNNNNNNNNNNNNNNNNNNNNNNNNNNNNNNNNNNNNNNNNNNNNNNNNNNNNNNNNNNNNNNNNNNNNNNNNNNNNNNNNCCAAUUAUCUUAAUUAUAUCCUAUCCUUUUUUAAAUUAUGGAUAAAUAAUAACAAACCAAGUAUAAUGUAAUCUCUUCAAAAACUAAUGAGCACAAUUUUAUAUGGAUAAAACUUCCUAACUGAAUACGUAUAUUAAUCAGACUAAUUAUUUAUUCUCAUAAGUGAAUAAAAAUCAUGGCUUCUUCUUCUUCUUUCACGGUCAAUUUUCUUCUUCUUUUCCGUUUUGUCUCUCUCUCUGUCUUUCUUCUACUUAUGUCAUUCACGUUUCGCACAAUGGAAGAGCCAUUAUAUACACACAUUAUUACUUACAGGUUACAGCUAUAUGCAGGAGUGUGAAACAUAACCCAGAAGCGGGUGGAAUUAUUUCAUUGGUUUGCCUAUUUUCUAAAUUUUUAGAUAUUAUGUGCUAAAAUUUGAGAUUAUUGCAUUUGCAUUUAGUUGCUGAUAUGCGGAAUAAUGUUUGCAAUUGAUUUGAUUGAUCUGAUAUUUGUGUUGUCAAUCGUGUUUAAUUGAAAAUUUUGGUGGGUUUUCGAUUGGAAAGUUUGUGUUUAGAUUAGAGCUAUUCACGUUUCUUAUAUCAACAGUAAGGAACUGGGUUUAUUUCUUAAUUUGAUUAUUUAGUAUCUUCAUUUUAAGUCUGUAUUUUGAUUUUGUUAAUAUUAUAAAUAAACACAAACAUGUAAGUAUGCAUGUAAAUGAUGAGGACAUGAGGUAUUUUAUUGGUAUGGCCUGUAGAGUUUUGGUUCUAAUCCACACUCCCGAGUCCCGUAUACAAAUUUACUUUUUAAUUGUUGCCUUUAUUUAGUACAAAUUUACUCUUUUAGACUUAUUCGUUUUAAAUGUGUUAUGGUCUUCUUCUUUUUUUUUUUUUGACUUAUCUCUAAUCCGAUUAUACUAUUUGAUUAUUGCACAAUAAUAUACUAUUUUCUUAUUAUAUUUUAAUUUAUUAAUUAUACCCACAUAUUUAUUAUUAAAAAUUUGAAUAAUCCCAUCGCAACGCGAGAGUUUAUAUCUAAUAUAUACCUAUUUUGGGGACGUCACAAUAUAAACUUGCAAUGACAAAAACAUAAAUGAAUCUAUGGUAAAGUCUCAAGGCUAAUGUAACCUUACUCUUUUCAUUAUAUAAUAGAUAGAUGACAAUUGAUAUUUUUGCGAAUAAAUUUACUAGUUGGACAUAAUAAGUGGGGUCAUCUUAUGUAAAAUAAUUUUUUAAAAUUAACACUUUCACAUGUAAAAAUAUCAAAUUCUUAGAUAGACAAGUAUAACAAUAAUAUUUUUAUACAAAUAUCAAAUAUUAUCAUACCCACUUAUUUUAAUGUCUAAUGUGAAAUUUCUAAAUUAAAUUAUUAAAUAACGCAUACUUAAAUAAAAUAAACAGUUAAAAUCAUAGUAAUUAAUUUUAUUAAGAGACCACAAUAAUAGAAAUUUUAUUUUUUUAUAUUUUUUUUUAAUAUUUUCACAAGACUUGUAUAUCAGUUGCCCAUGAUAUUGUCGUGCCAAAAGAGAACAGUAGAACAUGAUACACUUAUACUCUAUUAACUAACAACGUGACAAAGCUUUUCAAAUUUUUGGGCCAGGCCCGUUAUUCUUGAGACACCGAAUAUAAAUAUCGCGUUAUAGAUGAUUGGUCGCAACCAAACACUACGUUACAGGGAUCGUACAAUAUGACGCUAUAGUUGUUUAUCCUUCAAUCCCAAUCUGCCCUAGAAGUUCAAUUUUAUCUUCCGGGGGAAUUAAACAGGUGAUUUUAGAUCAUUCAAAUAAUUAUGUAUAUCUUUAUUUUAUGAUCCAUUUCAUGAUUUGAUUAGGAAUUCUCAUCUCCAUCUAGGGUUAGGAUCUGUGCUAUAUAUACAUAAUACAUAUUUAUUGAAAAUAAAAUCCAUUAGUUUUUUACUACUGUAUCGGAUUUCUAGAUCUAAUCAUAAGUUGAAAUUGAGUUUGAUUUGAUAAUCUUAUAACAUUAUACGUCUAUAUAUAUCUCUCGUAUAAAGCCAGUUAACCUCUGCUUAGUUUUUUAAGCUUUUGUAAGGUUUAGGUUGUGAAUGGUUGUUUUUUCAAAUCGUUUUAGCAUAAAUUAGUAAGCUUUUCUGCUUUCAUUAACGUUAUUUGAUCCUACUGUUUUUAGUCUUCUUUUUAAAAUGAAAUUGAUUUCAAUCCUGCUAUUUGAUAGGUUUAGGGCUUUUUGGUGGUAUUAAAGUUUGGGACUUUGCCAAUAUCGAGAAACUGGUUUUGCCAUGGCGGCUCUGAAGGAGCUUCUCCCCCCUGCAAAAUCGGCUGGGACUACAUAUUAUGAUCACAGUAGUGAUCCAUGGUUUAAGCAAAGGUAUACUGCUGCAGAGGAUGAGAUCUCCGCGGUUGUUAAAGCCAAUUCGGUACCACUGUAUUUGAAGCGGGAUGGAUUUAGGCCAUCACGGCCCGAGCAUUUUGGUGAUGGGGCUGCUUUUCCAGAAAUUCUCUAUGCACAGUACCCUCUUGAUAUGGGUAGGAAAAAGGACAUAGUUUCCGGGCAAAAGACACUGCCUGUUACAGUUGAUGAGCAUGGCAGAGUUACUUUUGAUGCUAUAGUCAAACAGAAUGAGAAUGCAUCCAAGAUUGUUUAUUCACAGCAUAGGGACCUUGUGCCGAAGAUUUUGAAAAACGAGAUUGAUGAAGAGGAAGGGCCCGAUGAGAAGCAGAAAGAAAUUGAAGAGACCACUUUGGACACAAAAAUGGCUCUUGAGAAGAUUGUGAAUGUGAGGUUGAGUGCUGCACAGCCUAAAAAUGUUCCAACACAAUCCUCGGAUUCUAAGUUUAUCAAGUACAAACCUUCACAACAAUCAUCUGCUUUUAACUCGGGUGCGAAGGAGAGGAUUAUUAGGAUGGUGGAGAUGCCCGUUGACCCGCUGGAGCCUCCAAAGUUUAAGCACAAGAGAGUUCCUAAGGCUAAUGGUUCACCCCCUGUGCCAGUUAUGCAC